rnacentral:rRNA from 1 species
AAACUUUCAACAACGGAUCUCUUGGUUCCGGCAUCGAUGAAGAACGCAGCGAAAUGCGAUACGUAAUGUGAAUUGCAGAAUUCAUUGAAUCAUCGAGUCUUUGAACGCACAUUGCGCCCCCUGGUAUUCCGGGGGGCAUGCCUGUCCGAGCGUCAUU